AUGGCUGUCGUCAGCUCGUGUCGUGAGAUGUUGGGUUAAGUCCCGCAACGAGCGCAACCCUUACUUUUAGUUGCCAUCAUUUAGUUGGGCACUCUGAAAGAACUGCCAGUGAUAAGCUGGAGGAAGGUGGGGAUGACGUCAAGUCCUCAUGGCCCUUAUGUGUUGGGCUACACACGUGCUACAAUGGCAUUUACAAUAGGAAGCAAGAUGGCGACAUCAAGCAAAUCCUAAAAAAAUGCCUCAGUUCGGAUUGCACUCUGCAACUCGAGUGCAUGAAGCUGGAAUUACUAGUAAUCGUGGAUCAGCGUGCCACGGUGAAUACGUUCCCGGGUCUUGUACACACCGCCCGUCACACCAUGGGAGUUGGUUCUACCUUAAGGCAAAGUUUAAAAACUUUGACCACGGUAUAGUCAGCGACUGGGGUGAAGUCGUAACAAGGUAGCCGUAGGGGAACCUGCGGCUGGAUUACCUCCUUUCUAAGGAUGAUUGAAAGUAAAAUUUCAAUCUAAAUAAUAAACAGGUUAAUGUUGACCGUCCUCAUUUCUCUUCUUAAAAUAGUGUUUCUCUUCUGCAUGGGGGCCGGUAGCUCAGUUGGUUAGAGCACACCCUUGAUAAGGGUGGGGUCGAUAGUUCGAGUCUAUCUCGGCCCACCAAAUUUUAUCUGGGGGAUUAGCUCAGCUGGGAGAGCGCCUGAUUUGCAUUCAGGAGGUCAGCGGUUCGAUCCCGCUAUCCUCCACCAAGAAACACUUAGUUAUUUUUUUUGUGAAUAUUUAAUAAUUUAUAUCAAUAUCUAUAUCCGAACAUUAAUUCAUUUAUUAAUGUUCAAAUAAAAAAUUUGAUUCAACACAGAAUUUUUUUCUGUGCAUAAAUCAAGCGUUUAAGGGCGUGUGGCGGAUGCCUUGGCACUGAAAGCCGAUGAAGGACGUGGUAUACUGCGAUAAGUUACGGGGAGCUGUAUGCAAGUUUUGAUCCGUAAAUUUCCGAAUGGGGAAACCCGG
rnacentral:sRNA from 1 species